rnacentral:rRNA from 1 species
AACGAACGCUGGCGGCAUGCCUAACACAUGCAAGUCGAACGAGACCUUCGUGUCUAGUUGCGCACGGGUGCGUAACGCGUGGGAACCUGCCCUUAGGUUCGGAAUAACUCCCCGAAAUGGGUGCUAAUACCGGAUAAUGUCUUCUGACCAAAGAUUUAUCGCCUUUGGAUGGGCCCGCGUUGGAUUAGCUAGUUGGGAGGGUAAAAGCCUACCAAGGCGACGAUCCAUAGCUGGUCUGAGAGGAUGAUCAGCCACACUGGGACUGGGACACGGCCCAGACUCCUACGGGAGGCAGGAGUGGGGAAUAUUGGACAAUGGGCGAAAGCCUGAUCAAGCAAUGCCGCGUGAGUGAUGAAGGCCUUAGGGUUGUAAAGCUCUUUUACCCGGGAUGAUAAUGACAGUACCGGGAGAAUAAGCUCCGGCUAACUCCGUG